GACCGCGUCGCUCAGUUGGCAGAGCAUUGGGCUAGUAUUCCAAAGGUCGUAGGUUCGAUUCCCACCGUGGACA